CAUUAGAUGGCUGAAAGUAAGCAAUGGUCUCUUAAACCAGAAUAUAGUAAUUAACAUCUACUUCUAAUG
rnacentral:tRNA from 1 species